rnacentral:rRNA from 1 species
GAUGAACGCUGGCGGUGUGCCUAAUACAUGCAAGUCGAGCGAACAGACGAGGAGCUUACUCCUCUGACGUUAGCGGCGGACGGGUGAGUAACACGUGGAUAACCUACCUAUAAGACUGGGAUAACUUCGGGAAACCGGAGCUAAUACCGGAUAACAUGUUGAACCGCAUGGUUCAACAGUGAAAGACGGUCUUGCUGUCACUUAUAGAUGGAUCCGCGUCGCAUUAGCUAGUUGGUAAGGUAACGGCUUACCAGGGCAACGAUGCGUAGCCGACCUGAGAGGGUGAUCGGCCACACUGGAACUGAGACACGGUCCAGACUCCUACGGGAGGCAGCAGUAGGGAAUCUUCCGCAAUGGGCGAAAGCCUGACGGAGCAACGCCGCGUGAGUGAAGAAGAUCUUCGGAUCGUAAAACUCUGUUAUUAGGGAAGAACAAAUGUGUAAGUAACUAUGCACGUCUUGACGGUACCUAAUCAGAAAGCCACGGCUAACUACGUG